rnacentral:rRNA from 1 species
UACGUAGGGGGCAAGCGUUGUCCGGAAUUAUUGGGCGUAAAGCGCGCGCAGGUGGUUUCUUAAGUCUGAUGUGAAAGCCCACGGCUCAACCGUGGAGGGUCAUUGGAAACUGGGGAACUUGAGUGCAGAAGAGGAAAGUGGAAUUCCAAGUGUAGCGGUGAAAUGCGUAGAGAUUUGGAGGAACACCAGUGGCGAAGGCGGCUUUCUGGGCUGAAACUGACGCUGAGGCGCGAAAGCGUGGGGAGCGAACAGG